UGCAGCUUUGUCAAAUUCAGUGCUCCCUCCUUGAUGGGUCCCACUGGCCAAAAUAGCUGCCACAAUAAUGCUGUAGAUCAUGGGCCCCACAUGACUUUGCUGUGGAUGCUGGGAUAAAUAUGAACUACAGACAAAU